rnacentral:rRNA from 1 species
AGUGACAAGAAAUAACAAUACAGGACUUUUUGGUUUUGUGAUUGGAAUGAGUUAAGUAUAAACCCCUUUACAAGUAUCAAUUGGAGGACAAGUCUGGUGCCAGCAGCCGCGGUAAUUCCAGCUCCAAUAGCGUAUAUUAAAGUUGUUGCAGUUAAAAAGCUCGUAGUUGGAUUUCUGUUAAUAAUUUAUAUAUUAUACUUUUUAAGGUGUUUAUAUAAUAUUAACAUAAUUCAUAUUACUAUACUUUUUUAGUAUAUGAAAUUUUACUUUGAGAAAAUUAGAGUGCUUAAAGCAGG